rnacentral:rRNA from 1 species
UACGAAGGGGACUAGCGUUGUUCGGAAUCACUGGGCGUAAAGCGCACGUAGGCGGAUUCGUAAGUUAGGGGUGAAAUCCCGGGGCUCAACCUCGGAACUGCCUUUGAUACUGCGGGUCUCGAGUCCGAUAGAGGUGGGUGGAAUUCCUAGUGUAGAGGUGAAAUUCGUAGAUAUUCGCAAGAACACCAGUGGCGAAGGCGGCUCACUGGCCCGGUACUGACGCUGAGGUGCGAAAGCGUGGGGAGCAAACGGG